AAAAAACACUCUUUAGAUUUCAACUGCACAUGAUUUAGUAGACAGUUUCUUGGUUACUUGGCAAUAAGAAUUUAUGUACAGAUUAUAUCUUCAGUCAAUUUAAAGUACAUGUAGUUAUAAAUUGUCAUAAAAUGGCAUCUGACAUGUUUUGUUGUUUUGAGUAAGCCUAGACUAAACAGUUCUGAGACUUGCAGAUUAACAGUAUCUAGUUAACUUAUUAACAGAUUAACAGUUUUAUUAAUAAGCAGAUCAGUGAAUAAACCUAUUAACCAUAGUUCAUUUUUGGUAGACGCACAAGUUGAGUUUUCAGUUUCCCUACUAUGGUCACUUGCUUAAUGAAGUAAUGCUUACAACAGGAGGUUUCCUGUACAUGGAUGUACAUGACACUAAGCUCAUGACACAGGUUCAGUAUCUAGCACCACUAAUGGCGUACUUUAAUCCUCAUUUGAGCAAGGACUCAAAGGUUUACACACUUGAUGAUGAAUCAAAGUUGACUGUAGAGUGGUAUAACGUUCAUCUACAUGUACAUGAGAACGCUACUGAUAAACCAUUCACCUUCCAGUGCACCCUACAUAAAGAUGGCAGAAUCUGGUUUGCAUACAAACAGAUCCCAAUUGAAGUAGGAAAGAUUCCUUCCUUGCCAUACCACCCAGUGAAAGUUGGCAUAGCAGAUGCUUUUGUCAUCAGGCAUCUAGACACCCGAAGGAACAUUCUCUUCCGAUAUUUUUACAUAUAUAGCGCAAUUAACAUCUCCAAGGACAGUGUUGUUAACAAUGCAGCAGUGAUAUUUCAACCUCUGCUAAGUUGUGUGGGUGCCCAAACAUGUACUGAGUGUAUCGAGCGAACUGCAGCAACAAAUUUUUCCUGCCAGUGGUGUACUAAGACAGAGAAGUUAGUACAUUGUAACUCUUUUUAGUACAUUGCAAUGUAUGCAACACAUGUUGUGUUGUAAAUCUAAGAGAAUUACAAAUUGCUAAAUGAUCCUUGCUGGCUGGGAGGUCCUUAGAGUGAAAAACUAUGAUGAAGGUUUUGAAAUGCAUUUUCAAGACCGAGGUCACAGUUUUAUUUUUCAUCACUAUAUGGACUGACCCUAAGCUGGUAAACUACAACUUAUUUCGUUCACCUCCCCCUCCCCACCCCCUCUCUCUCGAGUAAAAAAGAAAUCCGGUAUAGAAAAAAAAUGAAAGCGUUACCAUGACCGUGGCUAGAGAUAGGAAAAUCCGGACCAAGCUAACAAUAAAUCAGGUAGCAUUCAUUACCUUGAAUAAAAAUAGUUUAUUGCUAUAUGGCUAACUCUGUGAGCAGGCAAGAUGAACCAAACCCUGCACUGUGAUUGGCUACCUGAGUGGGCAAGAUGCCACUGUGCCCCGCAAGAAAAAUUUAUCCCAAGCCAAAGUAGAAGCCAUAUAGUAAUUCCUUUAUUGACCAAGUGUUUGGUCAAGAUGGAUGGAUAUUGGCCUGGUUCAUUUUUGCAUGUUUAUGAACCUCGACAUCUUGACCUCAUGCUUGAUCAAUAACCCAUAUUUAUUACCAGUAUAUGACUUGUUUUUUUAGCUGGUAUAACGCGUGCUCUGAUUCGCUAAUUCUACUGCAUUUUACCGCCGUAAUGCCCACGUGUGCAUUCCGCGCCUGCAAAACCAAUUGAGAAAGCCAUAUAAUAACAACUUAUUAACUUCGAACGUUCGGUCUUUAUGGAAAAAUCUCAAACCUCAGCCUUGUCGCAUUGACCUCACUAUCGCUCUGUCAAUACUGCAAAGUCUCGGUUUGAGAUUUUGCAGUAAAGACCUCACUCUCGGUUAAUAAGUAGUUAUUAUCACCACCGAGACACUCAUGACUCUCAUGUGACCUUGGUUUCCAAGGUGUCGUAACAGCAGGGGAGAGACUUGGAAUGAGAUCGAAACUCUCUAAACCAGUUUCAGAACCGGUUGGUGCAAAGUGUAAGAAUGGCCAAUUGAACACUACUAUGCAUACCAGAGUAAUGCCUAAAAACUAUAUGGUGGAACACCUAUUAAGCAGCCACCUAUUGAACGGCCACCCCUAUUAGGUGGCCAGUAAUCAAAGUCCCGAUGAGGGCUUUUCUAUUGUAUUUUACCCUAUUUUAUACUGUAUUUAAUAUUACCCUUUUAAGUUGAACUGUUGUUUAUUAU